GGGCACGACGUCGCAUGCUCCCGGCCGCCAUGGCGGCCGCGGGAAUUCGAUUAGAGUUUGAUCAUGGCUCAGAACGAACGCUUUCGGUAUGCUUAACACAUGCAAGUCGAACGGAUUUAUUUAGAGCUUGCUUUAAAUAAAUUAGUGGCAGACGGGUGAGUAACACGUGGGAAUCUGCCCAUCAGUACGGAAUAACAUUUAGAAAUAAUUGCUAAUACCGUAUAUUCUCUUUGGAGGAAAGAUUUAUCGCUGAUGGAUGAGCCCGCGCCAGAUUAGGUAGUUGGUAGGGUAAUGGCCUACCAAGCCAAUGAUCUGUAGCUGGUUUGAGAGAAUGAUCAGCCACACUGGGACUGAGACACGGCCCAGACUCCUACGGGAGGCAGCAGUGGGGAAUAUUGGACAAUGGGCGAAAGCCUGAUCCAGCAAUGCCGCGUGAGUGAUGAAGGCCUUAGGGUUGUAAAGCUCUUUUACCCGGGAUGAUAAUGACAGUACCGGGAGAAUAAGCUCCGGCUAACUCCGUGCCAGCAGCCGCGGUAAUACGAAUCACUAGUGAAUUCGCGGCCGCCUGCAGGUCGACCAUAUGGGAGAGCUCCCAACGCGU
rnacentral:rRNA from 1 species